UCUACUUAGGUGGCUUGCGUCUGAUUCAAUGUCAACCAUGUACUACAGCCUCAUUGGAAACUACCUGCUGCUGCCACUCGAGUACCUUCAGUUUCCGUUCUUCCUGAUCGACAUGCCACCGCCAAUAAACUUCGGCGCCUUGGGGACUAUAAUUGCGCAGCAGAUCGUUUACGGCUUCGGAGAUCAAG